rnacentral:rRNA from 1 species
UACGUAGGGGGCAAGCGUUGUCCGGAUUUAUUGGGCGUAAAGGGCGUGUAGGCGGCCAUGCAGGUCAGCUGUGAAAACUCGAGGCUCAACCUCGAGACGUCGGUUGAAACCGUAUGGCUAGAGUCCGGAAGAGGAGAGUGGAAUUCCCGGUGUAGCGGUGAAAUGCGCAGAUAUCGGGAAGAACACCCGUGGCGAAGGCGGCUCUCUGGGACGGUACUGACGCUGAGACGCGAAAGCGUGGGGAGCGAACAGG